GCUCCCUUAGCUCAGGUGGAUAGAGCAUUAGUUUCCUAAACUAUGCGGACAGGUUCGAAUCCUGUAGGGGGCA
rnacentral:tRNA from 2 species